rnacentral:rRNA from 1 species
CCUACGGGCGGCUGCAGUCGAGAAUCUUCGGCAAUGAGCGCAAGCUUGACCGAGCGACGCCGCGUGCGGGAUGAAGGCCUUCGGGUUGUAAACCGCUUUGGUCCGAGAGAAAGGGCAACUUGAUCGAUCGGAGAAACAAGGACGGGCUAAGUUCGUGCCAGCAGCCGCGGUAAGACGAACCGUCCAAACGUUAUUCGGAAUCACUGGGCUUAAAGGGCGCGUAGGCGGCCGAGCGGGUCGUGGGUGAAAUCCCCCAGCUUAACUGGGGAACUGCCCUUGAUACCACUGCGGCUCGAGGAAGGAAGGGGCAAUCGGAACUGUCGGUGGAGCGGUGAAAUGCGUUGAUAUCGACAGGAACGCCGGUGGCGAAAGCGGAUUGCUGGUCCUUUUCUGACGCUGAGGCGCGAAAGCCAGGGGAGCAAACGGGAUUAGAUACCCCAGUAGUCU